GUGCUCGCUUGCGCCGCAUAUAUACUAAAAUUGGAAUGAUACAGAGAAGAUUAGCAUGGCCCCUAUGCAAGGAUGACACUCAAAUUCGUGAAGCGUUCCAUAUUUUA
rnacentral:snRNA from 1 species